UCCGUUUGUUUUGGUGGAGUUCGCGGAAUUGAUCUAGCGCUGCUCUGGGAUCGAUAUAUUCCCGUUCCAGAUAGACACGAUAUAUCGCUCCCCGAGCAAUCGAUUUUAACGCGCCGAUACGGCGCGUAGUCUAGACGGGGGCUAAGUGGAAGGAC